ACAACGAGAACUAGGAACUGAACAUAAGGAAGUCAUUUGCCGGACUCCAGAACCUCAAACGUGGAACUCUGGAUCAACCCAUAACCCAUGAUUGUAUAGAAACAAUGGAGACUGUGUAUUCUAAUCGACCCGAUCUUAAGGAAGAACUUUUAGAAGAUGCUGACGAAUCUUGGUAUACUGAUGGAAGCAGGAUACGCCAUUACAACCACUCAACAGACUUUUUCAGGACAACCCCUAGAGGAAAAACGGAAGGAAAGUGGACGGGACCAUACCAGGUAUUACUGACAACACACACCGCCAUUAAGAUUAAGGAGCAAGCAGCUUGGAUCCACGAUUCAAGGGUGAAGAAGGCCCUGGCGAGGAUAUGGACCACCACUCCAAUUGGACCAACAAAAUUAUGGUUUUCCAGAUCCUAAUGAUUGCAGGGGUGUGGUUGUCAGAUUCGGGGUGGGCAGUUUGGGAUGAGAACUUACACCUGUCCCUGAUACAAACAAUUUCUCAAGUAAUUAAUAAGACAAACUGUUGGGUAUGCACCCAUCUGCCACAGCAUGGGAAUAAGGGUGUAUCGUUAAUCAGGAUUCCCUUGCUUGCAAACUUACCUUGGACGAAUUUGUGGGAAAACACAUCUUGGGGUCAAAAAUAUGAAGAAGUUUUGGAACUAGAAGUUGGUAGCUUCGUGCCAUUGGAAUCUUACUAUGUAUGUGUACAAAGGUGUAACCCGCCUAAGGGUAUGGGAAAACAGGAUUGUAUAAAUACGGAUACUACUUAUGUGGGAAAUCAGACAUCUUGUAAUUGAACAAUUGAUAUUAGUACGACUAGCGGCUGGGCAAAUUCAACCAGCUGGCCGGUUCCAGAAGGAAAAGGGUGGUAUUGGCUAUGCAAUGAUACAGCCCGUAAGGUCUUGCCCGAGAACUGGAAGGGAACUUGCACUCUUGGAGCAGUAGUCCCCAGUAUGACAGUACAUGAUGUAGUGCCUCGAGGUUACUUGAGAAAUCAUAUCUGGAGAAUUAGACGAAAAAUUAACAAUCCAUUGAUAGAGAGACACA